rnacentral:ribozyme from 13 species
UUCUUCUGUUUGGUUUUUUUCCUUUUCUUCAUCUUUUUCGUCUUCUAUUUCGUGGAUGUGGGAAAGGGGUUGAAGAUCAUCGAAAUACGUUGCAUCAAGAGGAAGGAAGGGAACAAUCAUGGGGGUGUCUUUCAAUAAUUCUGUGUCAGGUUUUGGCCGAAUAAA